CCCUUAGAUGUUCUGGGCCGCACGCGUGCUACACUGAGUGGAUCAGCGGGUCAGGUUGCGCGAAAGUGUUUCCUAAUCUUGAAAUCCGCUCGUGAUGGGGAUUGACGGUUGCAACUUUCCGUCAUGAACGAGGAAUACCUUGUAAGCGCGGGUCAUCAUCCCGCGCUGAAUACGUCCCUGCCCUUUGUACACACCGCCCGUCGCUCCUACCGAUUGAGUGGUCCGGUGAGGCUUUGGGAUCUGAGCAAAAAGAGCGUUUCGCUCGUUUGGCUCGGAAAACUCAGUCGAACCUUAUCAUUUAGAGGAAGGAGAAGUCGUAACA
rnacentral:rRNA from 1 species